GAUGAACGCUGGCGGCGUGCCUAAUACAUGCAAGUCGAGCGAACAGACGAGGAGCUUGCUCCUCUGACGUUAGCGGCGGACGGGUGAGUAACACGUGGAUAACCUACCUAUAAGACUGGGAUAACUUCGGGAAACCGGAGCUAAUACCGGAUAAUAUAUUGAGCCGCAUGGUUCAAUAGUGAAAGACGGUUUUGCUGUCACUUAUAGAUGGAUCCGCGCCGCAUUAGCUAGUUGGUAAGGUAACGGCUUACCAAGGCAACGAUGCGUAGCCGACCUGAGAGGGUGAUCAGCCACACUGGAACUGAGACACGGUCCAGACUCCUACGGGAGGCAGCAGUAGGGAAUCUUCCGCAAUGGGCGAAAGCCUGACGGAGCAACGCCGCGUGAGUGAUGAAGGUCUUCGGAUCGUAAAACUCUGUUAUUAGGGAAGAACAAAUGUGUAAGUAACUAUGCACGUCUUGACGGUACCUAAUCAGAAAGCCACGGCUAACUACGUG
rnacentral:rRNA from 1 species